UCCCCGGAAGCCUGAUGCAGCGACGCCGCGUGAGGGAUGAAGGCCUUCGGGUUGUAAACCUCUUUCAGCAGGGACGAAGCGUGAGUGACGGUACCUGCAGAAGAAGCACCGGCUAACUACGUGCCAGCAGCCGCGGUAAUACGUAGGGUGCGAGCGUUGUCCGGAAUUACUGGGCGUAAAGAGUUCGUAGGCGGUUUGUCGCGUCGUUUGUGAAAACCCGGGGCUCAACUUCGGGCUUGCAGGCGAUACGGGCAGACUUGAGUGUUUCAGGGGAGACUGGAAUUCCUGGUGUAGCGGUGAAAUGCGCAGAUAUCAGGAGGAACACCGGUGGGGAAGGCGGGUCUCUGGGAAACAACUGACGCUGAGGAACGAAAGCGUGGGUAGCAAACAGGAUUAGAUACCCUGGUAGUCCACGCCGUAAACGGUGGGCGCUAGGUGUGGGUUCCUUCCACGGGAUCUGUGCCGUAGCUAACGCAUUAAGCGCCCCGAAUGGGGAGUACGGUUGC
rnacentral:rRNA from 1 species